rnacentral:rRNA from 1 species
UACGAAGGGGGCUAGCGUUGCUCGGAAUCACUGGGCGUAAAGCGCAGGUAGGCGGUUGGAUAAGUCUCUUGUGAAAGCUCCCGGCUUAACUGGGAGAGGUCAAGGGAAACUAUCCGGCUAGAGUGUGGUAGAGGAAGAUGGAAUUCCCGGUGUAGCGGUGAAAUGCGUAGAUAUCGGGAGGAAUACCUAUGGCGAAAGCAGUCUUCUGGACCAUCACUGACGCUGAUCUGCGAAAGCUAGGGGAGCAAACAGG